rnacentral:rRNA from 1 species
AUUGAACGCUGGCUGCAGGCCUAACACAUGCAAGUCGAACGAGUGGCGGACGGUUGAGUAAUUUCUGGGAAACUGCCUGAUGGAGGGGGAUAACUACUGGAAACGGUAGCUAAUACCGCAUACCAUCAGAGGUGCCCAGAUGGGCGUAGCUAGUUGGUGGGGUAACGGCUCACCAAGGCGACGAUACCUAGCUGGUCUGAGAGGAUGACCAGCCACACUGGAACUUAGACACGGGCCAGACUCCUACGGGAGGCAGCAGUGGGGAAUAUUGCACAAUGGGCGCAAGCCUGAUGCAGCCAUGCCGCGUGUAGGAAGAAGGCCUUCGGGUUGUAAAGUACUUUCAGCGGGGAGGCGUUACCCGCAGAAGAAGCACCGGCUAACUCCGUGCCAGCAGCCGCGGUAAUUC